UGAUGAGUUUGUUUUACUUUGUGAUAACUUCUAUCAUUUUAAGCUUUUUAUUCUACCUCGUAAAUUAUUCAUUAGAGUUGACUGUUUAACGCGUUCAACUAUAGAUAAAAUUACGAAAGUUU
rnacentral:sRNA from 1 species